rnacentral:rRNA from 1 species
CUACGGGUUGCUGCAGUGAGGAAUAUUGCACAAUGGGGGGAACCCUGAUGCAGCAACGCCGCGUGGAGGAUAACGCAUUUCGGUGUGUAAACUCCUUUUAUAUGUCAAGAAGAUGACGGUAGCAUAUGAAUAAGCACCGGCUAACUCCGUGCCAGCAGCCGCGGUAAUACGGAGGGUGCAAGCGUUACUCGGAAUCACUGGGCGUAAAGGACGCGUAGGCGGGUUGGAAAGUCAGGUGUGAAAUCCUACAGCUUAACUGUAGAACUGCACUUGAAACUUCUAAUCUAGAGUAUGGGAGGGGGAGAUGGAAUUAGUGGUGUAGGGGUAAAAUCCGUAGAUAUCACUAGGAAUACCUAAAGCGAAGGCGAUCUCCUGGAACAUUACUGACGCUAAGGCGUGAAAGCGUGGGGAGCAAACAGGAUUAGAUACCCGAGUAGUC